GCGCUUGGCUUAGUGGUUAGGGCAUUCGGCUAACGAUCGUAAAGUUGUGAGUUCAAUUCCCGACCAAGCGCU
rnacentral:tRNA from 1 species